GCCGCAUGCAGGUAAACGGGUGGCGUCAAGCUGCGAGCCCGGAGGAUUCAGCUGACUGGGAUGUAGUGUACGCGCGCCUGGUGCGUCGAGAGGCCGGAGUAAGAUGUGGCGGUUCACUCCUCUAACGGGGGUGAAGUGCGGCCGGUGUAAGCCGGUUGUCGCUAUGCUUGCCGGGUGGGUGCCGGAGCAUGCCGUUCGUCUGUUGGGCCACCUAGUCAGUGCAUUUUCUCUGUGGUGAACACCACGACCGGUGGAACUGCCAGUCUGCUGUAGUCAAGUCGUGCACUCCUGAUGCUUUACUGUGUUGGGUGAGUACGAUCGCAGGCGGAGCCGGUGGACGGCGCAGUGGUGCUUCGGUACCGCCGCGUGUUAUCGUGCACUCUCCGUCGUAAGCGGUUAGUGGGGCUGACUGAGUGCUGUAACCACUUCCUCAUUAACCGGCGGAUUGCAGUGGUGAAAGGGACUGUGCAGGGCACCGGAGUUAUCCACCUCAUUCAAUAUGGUACCCGGCACGCACGUUAUAGGUGCAAUGAAAUCGGGAUGCGCCGCUGUCUGCCUAGUGUUGGGCCUGACUGUCGUGUUGCCUGCGCAAAGUGGGUCCGGCAGUGGUCUUGGCGCCUGGCAGUCGCAGUGUGUUGCGUGUCUCGGGUGUCUGUGGUACCGGGGGUGAAAUAGUCAGUGGUGCUGUGGUAGACGAGCUACCCGACCCGUCUUGAAACACGGACCAAGGAGUUUAACAUGUGUGCGAGUCAAAGGGUCCUACGAAACCCCGAGGCGCAGUGAAAGUAAAGUUCAUGCUGUACUUCUGCACAUACGCAGUACAGUGUGGCGAGGUGAGAUCUCGUUGUACUCAUGACACACGCCGCAGACCUUACUGGGCUUUAACUGGGGCAACGAGCGCAUCACCGGCCCGUCCCAUGAUGUGGUCAUAGGUGUUACCUGGUGUUGUGUGUUCGCACGCGGCAUCGGAGCCUGUGCGUCAUCGGGGCGGAGCAUGAGCACACACGUUGAGACCCGAAAGAUGGUGAACUAUGCUUGCGUAGGUUGAAGCCAGAGGAAACUCUGGUGGAGGACCGUAGCGAUUCUGACGUGCAAAUCGAUCGUCAAACGUGAGUAU
rnacentral:rRNA from 1 species